UCAGCGUCCCGUUGCUCACGCGCCUAAGUCCCACCUUAGGCGUCGACUCGACCUUACUAAACCAUCUCCCUCAUAAACCCAAACGAAUACAUGCAGUCUUCAAAAUCCUCACCAUCACCGGCCGAUACUCCUAAUCUCGCUCACCGUCCAACUGUUUUCCACCACGUCUGCACCGCCGUCAACAAUGGAUGCAGUUGCGGGCACUCCGUCAUCAGGCCGUGACGACUGCUGGAGCGAGGACGCCACCUUCACGCUCAUCGAGUCAUGGGGCGACCGCUUCCUCCAGCUCAACCGCGGUAACUUACGGCAGAAGCAUUGGCAGGAGGUUGCAAACGCCGUCAACGACCGUCACGUUCAUGUCUCCGCCGCUGGUAAACCCCAGCCUUUCCGUACAGAUAUCCAGUGUAAAAACCGCAUUGAUACUCUUAAGAAGAAGUAUAAGAUCGAGAAGGCUAGGGUUUUAGAUUCCGGCGGUUCCUACACUAGUUCCUGGCUUUUUUUCCCCGGCCUCGAUGCUCUUCUCGGUCCGAACUUCCCGACCGCCGGGACUUCCCCGCCGGUUACUAUCCCCAAGUUCACUCCUCCGGCAUUGGCGAUCUCUCCGAUUCCGGUGGGACCUAGAUCGGCGACGCCGAGGCGGCCAGCGUCGUUGACGGCGGAUGACUCUAGCUUCCGCCGCAACUUCUCGGCUUUUGCCGCUGCUGCUGCCGCCGCUGCCGCUGCUGCUGAGGAAAAUUGCUCGGAGAGUUCAAGGUCGAGUGGCGGGAGCGGAAGUACGCGGAGGAGGAAGAGAACUAGGACGGUGGAGAGCGAGGUGGGGUACAGGGAGUUGGCUGACGCCAUAGAUAGGCUAGGGGAGAUAUACAAGAGAGUAGAGGAGAGGAAGCAGAAGCAGAUGGUCGAGUUGGAGAAGCAUAGGAUGCAAUUCGCCAAGGAUUUGGAGUGCCAGAGGAUGCAGCUCUUUGUGGAGACUCAAGUUCAGCUUCACAAGCUGAAGCGCGCCGCUGCUAAGCGGUCAUCUGCUGAAAAUUCGUCACCUGAGAGUGAAAAGGACAGUCCUUUCCCUUGUUUUGGAGCGUCAUGGAACUUGUUAGCGAUGAAUUGCUAUUCUUUGAGCUGCGAUCUUGAUGGCGGUCUGAUUUUCUAGACGAAUCUUCAUGGAAAGCUCUAAUAUGGCAGCAAAUUAGAAUUGGAUCUCGUUCCUCCCUGAAUAUGAGCUUUGUCUUCAUUGGGGUUCAUGAAGUAGCUACCUGAUCUGAAUGGCUGGACAAAAAUUACUGAUAGUUGGGAGGUGCUGUACUGCCAGGCAAUGUUCUUGACUUAAAGGCAUAGGUGGAAUAGAUCCAGAUAAGCGAACAUAUUAUGACUACAGGUCUUUUGUUUUUUAUCCUUUUUCAGGGAACAUAUUUGAAACUUGGAUGAAAAGUUGGCUCUUCUUGUAAUGCCUCCUUUUUUGAAGUGAUUUGUUUUUCGUUUUUAAGCUGUAAAUCACCAGGAGGGCUGAACCAGGAUUAAAAUUUGUCAAUAUCUUGCUAAAUUAUACAAAGUAUUUUCCUUUUUUGAUC